UACGUAGGGUGCAAGCGUUAUCCGGAAUUAUUGGGCGUAAAGAGCUCGUAGGCGGUUUGUCGCGUUGACUGUGAAAUCCCGCGGCUCAACCGCGGGUCUGCAGUCGAUACGGGCAGGCUAGAGUUCGGUAGGGGAGACUGGAAUUCCUGGUGUAGUGGUGAAAUGCGCAGAUAUUAGGAGGAACACCGAUGGCGAAGGCAGGUCUCUGGGUUGAUACUGACGUUGAGGAGCGAAAGCGUGGGGAGCGAACAGG
rnacentral:rRNA from 1 species